GACGAACGCUGGCGGCGUGCUUAACACAUGCCAGUCGAACGAUGAAGCCCAGCUUGCUGGGUGGAAGAGUGGCGAACGGGUGAGUAACACGUGAGUAACCUGCCCUGAACUCUGGGAUAAGCACUGGAAACGGUGUCUAAUACUGGAUACGACCUAUCACCGCAUGGUGUGUGGGUGGAAAGAUUUAUCGGUUCUGGAUGGACUCGCGGCCUAUCAGCUAGAUGGUGAGGUAAUGGCUCACCAUGGCGACGACGGGUAGCCGGCCUGAGAGGGUGACCGGCCACACUGGGACUGAGACACGGCCCAGACUCCUACGGGAGGCAGCAGUGGGGAAUAUUGCACAAUGGGCGCAAGCCUGAUGCAGCAACGCCGCGUGAGGGAUGACGGCCUUCGGGUUGUAAACCUCUUUUAGUAGGGAAGAAGCGAAAGUGACGGUACCUGCAGAAAAAGCACCGGCUAACUACG
rnacentral:rRNA from 1 species